GCUCCCAUAGCUCAAUCGGAUAGAGCGUAGCCCUCCGGAGGCUGAAAUGAAGGUUCGAGUCCUUCUGGGAGCA
rnacentral:tRNA from 1 species